UACAGAGGUCUCAACCGUUGUUCGGAUUCAUUGGGCAUAAAGGGUGCGUAGGCGGUCGGGUAAGUCGGAUGUGAAAUCCCAGGGCUCAACCCUGGAACUGCAUUCGAUACUGCCUGGCUAGGGUACUGGAGAGGAGACUGGAAUUUACGGUGUAGCAGUGAAAUGCGUAGAUAUCGUAAGGAAGACCAGUGGCGAAGGCGAGUCUCUGGACAGUUACCGACGCUGAGGCACGAAGGCCAGGGGAGCAAACGGG
rnacentral:rRNA from 1 species